rnacentral:lncRNA from 1 species
CAGAGAGAUAGUUUUCUCUUUGAAUUAUGAGGCUUUGCUUUUUCUUCUAAGUCCAGAGCAGAGGUUUCCCUAUUCACAUAUCAGGAAAUGUUUUUCUAAGGAGCUUGGAAAUGGCUGCUUGGGCUGGACUUUGGGUUUGAGAGAUGCUUUUCCAUGGAAGUGCAAGAUGAGUGAGUGGAAGGUUACACGGCUCCAGGGCCUGUGAGCCACAGAAUGUAUCGUGUGUCUGGAGAAAAGUGCCACUGGCAGGCACUGGACCCGUUCCCAGGCUGCUCUGCAUCUCUUGUCUCAUCAGGAAUAACCUGCCAGCUGGAGAGAGAGCAUAAUCUUUCUAGCCAAAGACCUAAAGGAGUGAGGACAAAAGACUAAUCUUUCUGCUGAAGAACUCCCUUUUUGCCAGACCUACAGAGAGUUUUCUCUGCUAUUCCUGCCCUCAAUCAGGAGGUCAACGUAGCUCUGACCCUGGGCAUGCUGAGCUGGUCUCCUGCAGAUUUAAAUAAAACACCCCAAAGGAAAUUCUGAAGUGAAACCACAGACCACAGGUGAUUCUUCCUUUUUAAAGUUAGUAUUUAGAUGAGUCAUGAUUUGCAUCCCAGUGUGAGAAAAAUGAUCCAAAUUACAUAACCAGCAAGAAAUCAAAAGGAGGAAAAGAUGGAUGAAAGGAGAUUCAAAUCUACAGAUUUAUGGACUUAAUAGUAUGAAUUCUAGAUUAUUAAAAUAUGAAUUGGAUGAGAGGACAUGCUGUCUGAUUAAAAUAAUAUCCGGUUACUACAUGCAGUGUCUCAGUUGGGAAGCAGUGCUUUGGAAAAGAAGGAGUGAACAGAAUUGUCCUGAUUUUGUGGAGCAGUGGAUCAGAGCUGUCAUCUUCCCUGAUGUGUGUAAGAACCAGAUGCUGCAGGAGAAUGAAUAAAUCCUCCUGUCCCCAUUCAGCAGAUGUGCAAUAUCUCCCCAUGGAGGUCUCAUUGUAAUCCCAAAGGAUUUGGAUUAAACCAUUAAGCACAGGGUUCAUUUCAUUUUCUUUUAUAAAUCUCUGGUAGUUUAUAGUUACAAAUCUCUGGUACUUUCAGGAUCUGUCUGAAUAUUUCUUCUCCAAAUAAACCCACAGUUUCCAUUAAAACUUCUCCA